GCAUCGGUGGUUCAGUGGUAGAAUGCUCGCCUGUCACGCGAGCUUCUUCUAUGAGUAUUGGACCGCUGCU
rnacentral:tRNA from 1 species